UUAAGUUCAGCGGGUAGUCCUACUCGAUUUGAGGUCAAGUUGUCAGACAUUGUCCGAAGACGGUUUAUGAAGCACAGAGCUCCCAAUCGGCCACCCUCUUUCAAGGCGCCGGCGAAGACACUUAUCACGCCGUACUAUGUCCAAUCAGGAGUUGCACUAAUGCAUUUGAGGUGAGCCACCGGGCAGCAGCAACACCCAAG
rnacentral:misc_RNA from 1 species